rnacentral:lncRNA from 1 species
UCACGUUUAGCAACAUCUAUAUAAACAUUUAAUGGACUCAGACUUGUAAAUUUCAUUCUGAGAUGCAUAAUUAUUUCUGCCAGAUUUAGAGUUAGCAAUAUAGACAAACAAUUGAGUUUGCCUAUAAUCGUCACUUUACAAUAAAAUUUGAGGGUGUAGGCUAUAUUAGGCUUAAGCCGUUCGUCAGCACUUGGAUUACUAAGUAUUGCAUUUGGAAUCAGCUGAGAAAGAUCAGAUCAAUACACGUAAAACCUAACAUUCUGUCUGGUGUGUUAGUCAACAUGCUCGGCACAGUGAUGAGAAUAGAAAAAGAACCUUAUAUGGAAAAUCAGGAUCUAAUUCUUGGUACAGGUAAUUGUUGAUAUUUUAUCUAAUUUUUUCACUUACCAGUAAUCUUAAAAAUUAAAAAAAAUUUUUUUUUUUAGAUAUUGUUGCAUUCUUAACAUAAAUUAUAAAAUAAUUACUCACUGUACUAGGUGUUCCAUUCAAAUUUGAGAAAAGUCAUAGACCAUUUACAUAUUACAGAAUUUUGAUUCUGUAGUAGGUGUAGUAUAUAAUUUUUAAUAGAUUUAAUUGUGGGGAAAAAGUAACUGUUUUACAAAUGGUUUUGGUAUUUUCUUUCUAGGUAUCCAUUUUUGUGGAUUGAGCAUUAUGAAUCAAGUUUAACGUUAGUGGGUAAUCUUAACUGCCAAAUUGUCUCUAUAUUCUUUUGUGAUCUCUUGACUGAACAUAUAUACAUAAAGACGAUUAGUGCAGCUUUAUCCUUUCAUGGUAGAGAUGAGUACUAAGCUGAGACAUCCAGUAACUAUUUAUGUAAAAUAUCCAAACUGAUUUGUUUCAGACACUUUGGAUUUAAAAUAAAAGGAUAAACCAAAGAAAUAAUAUAAAAUUAGCACACAGUUUGGUCAAAUUUUGUAUAAAUAAGCUUAAUGAUAUUGCUGAUGUAUUAUUGGCUUGCAAGUCAAUAAUUUAAUCCUAGUUGAAUCCACAUUCUUGCAAUGUCUAAUUUGAACAUUAAUGAAGACCGUGUUCAUGUGUUCAACUUCAGCAUGUUCAAGGAACAUUCAUUUGAUGAUUAAAGAUCUGACCGUGUAUCACAUUAAUUGAUCCCUGAAUUUAGACAAUGCAUACAUGUAUUGUAUAUUGAUUCCUUAAACAUUAAAAACUGACAUAAUAAAAACAGAUAAUGAGAUUAAGACCAUUGUCUAGUACUAAUGGACUUAAUAGUUAUAAGAAAUAGUUACAAUAAGUUCUAUAAGGCCUCGUAUUUGACUACAUUUGGUUCCUAUACAUGUACUUUUUUCAUAUACAAAUACUGCAAUAAAAAAAGAUGAUGCUUUUUAUAAAAAUAUGCUUGUAUAGUACUAACAUACAUUUGUAAAAUAUUUUUGAAACUUUUGCUAAGGUAAGGAUUAAACUAGAUGAUUUACUGUGUAGUAUUAAGUCUUUUGUUUAUAUAUAUUUUGCAUUGAAUUUCAAACAAAGAAUUGUUUAAGUAUGUCAGUUUGAAUUUAGACUAACAAUGCAUGGUAUUUAAAUGUAAUAAUUACUUGUAAUCGUUAUGAAUUACAUAAUUUUUCACAUUGACCGUAAAUUGACCUAACUAUAGGUAAGUUAAAAGAUUUUAUUUCACUUUGAACUUCUUUUUUGUACUUUUGACAUAUUUGUUAUGAGUUAAUAUAAAGAUAUACUGACUUUUAAAUAUUUGAGGAAGUCUGCAUGGUUACGAGGGAACCAGUAUUACCUCACAUUGAUUUGUUUUGAAUAUGAUGAACAAAAAUGAUAAUUCUAAUCAAGGUCAUUACAUUUGGAGACCCCUUAACAUUGCAUAUAAGAUAGAUAUAGGAAGAUGUGGUAUGAGUACCAAUGAGACAACUCUCCAUCCAAGUCUAGAUUGGGGUAUUGAUUUCUGUAUUCUUUGAUUUUUAUACUAUUUUGCUCUGUUCAUUUAACCCAAUCCUGACCCUAUAAUAAAGCCUAAAUGUUUACAAAAAAAAUGUAACUUGAUUGCUGAAAGUUUGAAACACUUUUCUUUGUAUGAUUGAUCAAAGUUUAUAAUACCCAACCUGCAAUAGGGAUAAAGUAAAAAAUGAUCACAGGUGCUUAUGAAAGGUAAGUAGAUCCUACUCCACAUGUGGUACCCGUUGUAUUGCUCAUGAAAGGUAAGCAGAUCCUACUCCACAUGUUGUACCCGUUGUAUUGCUCAUGAAAGGUAAGCAGAUCCUACUCCACAUGUUGUACCCGUUGUAUUGCUCAUGAAAGGUAAGCAGAUCCUACUCCACAUGUUGUACCCGUUGUAUUGCUCAUGUUAUUACACACCUGGUAAUACAAUGUAAGUCUAAUUUGUAGGUCACAUGGGUGAAAAGGGAACUUGAUUUUAGUUACGACAUUGCUGAGGAACAUAUAUCCUCUAUCAUCUGUGAAACAAAUAUUCAAUUUCCAACUCGUAAAAUUUACAAAGGGAAGUAAUAUGUUUCUCGGUUUGUGUGUCUUGACUGAGCAUCCAAAUGUUUGACUGUCCUGUAUUGAUUAAGAGCUUUUCUUUCUCUUCCUCGGAAUACAGAAGUAUACUCCUAGAUGAGAUUGUAAAAUUUCUAGGUUGCAGUUGUUUACCAUUUAGUAAAACUGUAAUUGUAGCAUUAUUUCUUUUGUCUUUUCCUUUUGUCUGUCCCAAACAAUCCCUUUUAAGACUCCUAGAGGUCAACCUUGAAAUGGUUAUGAGACAUGAUAUAUACAAAUAUUGAUUAAAACCUUACAUGUAUUAAGACUGAGACGAUAGAUCAGUAAAAAACAAAUUUGAACAAAUAUAAGGGACGAUAUCAUAAGAUCGAUGUAGGAUACAAAACUUAAAUAAAUGUUUGGGGGUGGGGGGGGGGGGGGGGUAAAAUUCUGCAAGUUUUGUAUAUCUUAAAUCGAUUUUUACACAUAUCCCUAUUGGUAAAUCAAUUUUCCCCAAAUUAAGUUAAGAGGGAAAAAACUAUGUGAAUUAAGUUUUUUAUCCUACAUUGAACUUUUGAUGUCGUCCCUAACAGUAUCUCAUUGUUCAAUAAUUGAAUGGAAAAACCAGAUUCAUGUUUGGUAGAAUUAUGUAACAGUAUAAAAAUUUGAAAAGCUAAUUAAUGUGUUUUCUAAUUUAGGAAAAUAAUAAUUGAUUGAGUUGAACUUAGGGACGACAUCAAAAGUUCAAUGAAGGAUAAAAAACUUAAUUCAAAUAGUUUUUUCACUGACCCCCCCUACCCCCCUAUUAACUUAUUUUGGAAAAAAUUGAUUGACCCAUAUGGAUAUAUGUAAAAAAUCAAUGUCGGAUAACCAAAUCUUGCAGCAGUUCAACCCCCACCCCCAAACUAUUUGAAUUAAGUUUUUUAUCUUACAUUGAUCUUUUGAUGUCGUCCCUUAAGUGUUACGAGAGAGACCUUGAAGUUGUGGUGUUAUGUAUCAAGAUUAAUUAAAUUUAAGUGUUACUAGUGAGACCUUGAAAUUGUGGUAUUACAUGUAUUAUAACAGGUUAAUUAAAUAUCUGUAUUUGUUUGUAUGUUGCCUAGAGUUAGUAGAGAGUAUCUAGGUCUAGUUUUUUUUACUUGUAUUAUACUUAUUGAAUUCUAUACCAACUGAGUUACAAACGUGACUGCUCUUUGGUCGAGUUGUUGUCUCUUUGAAAUAUUCCCCAUUUCCAUUCUCAAUUAAUGAAUUUUUAUAUAGGAUAAGGACAUAAUCACAAUUCUUAAACCUAUCAGUGUUUAGUAUUUUAAGUACCGGUAAUAAGAAAAAUUAUAUAAUGAAUAGAAAAAAAAAAGAUUUUUUAAUUAAUUGAGUAAAGGAUUAUUGAUUCUUGUCGUCUUUCGUCAUCUUUUUGUUUUAAAAAUAUCCUUUCCUCAUAAAUUACUUGGCGGCCAAUUGGGAACCACAUUACACAAUCUUCAUUAAGAUAUCUUUUGAUUAGGUCAGUUUUAGGGGCACCACUAAUUAUAUGUAAAAUAGUGGUAUAGAUAUUUGUUAUGCAGUUUAUUAAAAGAAUGGGAUAUUUGGUAUGCAGUUAAAUAUAUAUAAGAAUGGGAUAUUUGGUAUGCAGUUAAAUCUUAUAAUGGGAUAUUUGGUAUGCAGUUAAAUUGUAAAAAUGGGAUAUUUGGUAUGCAGUUAAAUUAUAAAAAUUGGAUAUUUGGUAUGCAGUUUAUUAUAAGAAUGGGAUAUUUGGUAUGCAGUACAUAUACCUAGCCCAUCACAUUUAUAUACAGUACUAGUCCAGACAAAGAUCUGUGUCAAUAGUUUGUGUAUAUAUAUUUGAGUAGAUGGUUUAUAUUUAUAGUUUAUAUAAUUAAGAACAUAUUUUGUACAUUUUGUAUAUUUAAUUCGAUAGUUAUAAGUAGAUAGCUUAUAUUUGUUGUAUAUAUAUUUAAGAACAUAUCUUGUACAUUUUAUAUAUUUAAUUAGAUAGUUAAUCCCUAUUUGAUCUCUAUUGGUCUUUAGUGUAUUGAAUUAGGACAUUAUUAAGGGCAUUAUAAGUGUUCACAAAAGAUUAAAGAAUAUUUGUGUAUUGUUAAUAGAGCUGAUAAACACAAGGUGUUUAAAUAUCUGUGUCAAUAUACCAUGUUAAAGUGUCGCAUUGUAAUUAAAUAAAUUAAAUAAAUGUUUACAGAGCACAUUAACCUCAAAAUUAAAUGAAUUAGCCUUCUUCCUGGUUUUGGUACACAUGCUCUUUUUUGGUUAAAAGAUUGAUUUAUUAUCUUUUAGCAAAUGUUAGGGUUAGUUUGUAGUGGAAAAAAAAUCUGAUUCAGAAAAAAACAUCUCCCUCUUCCUUGAAGUUAAAUUUUUGCUCCCUAAAAAAAUUCUUGCAAUUUUAUUGAAAUAAUACUUUGUUUUGAAAGAAAAUAAAGAUAAAUUUAUGCAGCCCUACUUCAUACACAAUUACAAACAAGAGAUGAAUGGACUUUUGGUCAAUAGUUUCUAGUGAAUUAGUUUUGUCACAUUGAUUUCCUUGAUUUCAAAUGAGGUUGUCAUCCUUUAUGAUGUUAAAACUGAAAUGCAGACAUUGCAAUGCAAUCAACAUCUAAUAAACAGAACUGAAUGACAUAUUGAAGCCUGAUCUGUUUUACAAUUAACUUAUUUACUUGGGGUCUGGAUUGGGAGGGGGCCUUCAUUUCUUCAUUUUCUAACUUUUAUACCCCACCUACGAUAGUAGAUGAGCAUUAUGUUUUCUGGUCUGUGUGUCUGUUCGUUCUAGAUCUUCUGUCCGUCACUGUAGACACAUUCUUGUUAAACCUAUUUUCCCCCUUUUGUGUCGUUUGGUUGCUUAUUAAUUGACAAAAUACAUUUGUAUUAUAUAUUGACAAGGUUUAAACAUGACAGCUGUAAAGAAUCAAAGUAUAUAUUUCAAAUUUUGAUGUUGUUUUCUUUUUCAGAUCACAAUCAGAACCUUAACAGAUCACACAGUUUAAAGGUCAGAUCAAGGUCAAGUCCUCACCAUCACAAUAGAUUAG